UGGGGAAUAUUGCGCAAUGGAGGAAACUCUGAUGCAGCGACGCCGCGUGAGUGAUGAAGGCCUUCGGGUCGUAAAGCUCUGUCGCAGGGGAAUAACACAAUGAAUGUACCCUGUAAGAAAGGAUCGGCUAACUUCGU
rnacentral:rRNA from 2 species